UACGUAGGGUGCAAGCGUUGCCCGGAUUUAUUGGGCGUAAAGGGCGCGUAGGCGGCUCUGCACGUCCGUUGUGAAAUCGCCCGGCUCAACUGGGCGGGGUCAGCGGAUACGGCAGAGCUUGAGCAAGCUAGGGGGCAAUGGAAUUCCCGGUGUAGUGGUGGAAUGCGUAGAUAUCGGGGAGGAACACCAGUGGCGAAGGCGGUUGCCUGGGGCUUUGCUGACGCUGAUGCGCGAAAGCGUGGGGAGCGAUCCGG
rnacentral:rRNA from 1 species